rnacentral:rRNA from 1 species
UGGGGAAUUUUGGACAAUGGGGGAAACCCUGAUCCAGCCAUCCCGCGUGUGCGAUGAAGGCCUUCGGGUUGUAAAGCACUUUUGGCAGGAAAGAAACGUCAUGGGUUAAUACCCCGUGAAACUGACGGUACCUGCAGAAUAAGCACCGGCUAACUACGUGCCAGCAGCCGCGGUAAUACGUAGGGUGCAAGCGUUAAUCGGAAUUACUGGGCGUAAAGCGUGCGCAGGCGGUUCGGAAAGAAAGAUGUGAAAUCCCAGAGCUCAACUUUGGAACUGCAUUUUUAACUAUCGGGCUAGAGUGUGUCGGAGGGAGGUGGAAUUCCGCGUGUAGCAGUGAAAUGCGUAGAUAUGCGGAGGAACACCGAUGGCGAAGGCAGCCUCCUGGGAUAACACUGACGCUCAUGCACGAAAGCGUGGGGAGCAAACAGG